GACGCUGCGCCUUCUGGACCAGCUGCUGGCCGAGUCGGCGGCCUGGGGCCCCCGAGCCUGCCCCGCGCCGCCCAGCCCGGCCCCGACCCACAGCGGUCGCGGGAGCGCGAGCUCCAGGCAGUAGUGGCAAGAAGCCCGAGAGGCCGGCAGCCAUCUCCUACGACCACGCGGAAGAGGGGCUGAUGGCUAGCAUCGAGCGGGAGUACUGCCGCUGAGGACAGCAUGCCCCGCCAGGCCUCGGAGGCACCUGCUGGCUGGGGCACCCCCUCCUCGCCCAGAGCUCUAGCAGGAGCUGAACCACCUCCAAAACGCAGCCACUCCCGGAUAUUCAAAGCUGACCUUGCAAAUCCACUUUCCGACCGUGCUGACCUGGGCCAGCCACUGGUGGUCAUGGUUGCUGGUGGGGGCGAUUAGCUGUGCAGACCCACAGGUGCGUGGGCCCGGGCCGCCGGCGCCUCCUCCCCAACACGGGGAGCCUGCCCGGUUCUCCUGGAGCCUGAAAUGCGUGCGCAUCUUGGCUGCCCGCUCUCCACAGUGGGGAGGGCUCACCAGGCUUGGGUGACACAAGCGAGCCCCUCCUGGCAUCCACGCCACAGCACUUCCGGAAGGUUCCGCUCUGGAAGGUACACCCGCGCUGCUCCCUCAGUCUCAGGCCCAUCUCUCCAGGGGUGGCCGGGUCAAUUUAGAACUUCUCAACUUUAACUCCCUAAUGAGCAGGCUGGGGGUGCUGUUGACAUGCAGGGCCUGAGGUUCUCUACGUCUAACCAGCUCCCAGCUGAGGCCCAAGCUCCGAAGCCCCAACUGCACUUUGAGGAACGAGAAUCCCAGCUUUGAUCUGCCUUGCAGUGGGAGGUAGAGCGCGUCACUGCCUCUCUGGGCCUCAGUUUCCCUCUCUGGAAAAUCAGCUCUGGCAGCUCUUGGAGGCCCUUCCCAGCUCUGACAAUCUGGAACUGCACAAGCCCAGGCUACCACUACUGUUCCCCCACCCUAGGCACAGCACCGCCUUCCCUGCGGGCAGCCAGCGCCCAGGUCCCACGGGGAGAGGGUCUGCCUGACACUGGCUUUCCAGUUCUCCCUCUCACAGGCAGCCUGGCCAGUGCCUACGGGGCUUUUAAAUUCUCUUCCCGCCUAGGUGGAAGGUGGGAAACCACAGCAGUAAGGCAGGAAGAGCCUUGGAAUGUUCCUGGUUGACAGAUGGGAAAACUGACCUGCCCGGGACGCCCUGGGAACAGGGGGCGGAGCUCCGGCGAGAGGGGACUCCUGUGUGGGCGGGCAGGUCUGGAGUCUGGGCCCAGGUGCGGCCUGCUGGGGGACAGCUCCGGGGGAGAACUGCGGGGAGAACAGCGGUCUAGGGAGGCAGGAGGCAGGAGGCAGGCGGCAGGCUCCUCCCCAGCAGCCUGGAGGGCAUCAGGACAGAGGGGGAAGGAGGAAACAGCGCGGCUUCCGCUGAAACCAGUACAAGCCUGGUUAUCUGGCUUGACCCGCCAACACGGAGGCCCCCGCCACCGUUUUCUUUUUCCCCCUGAGAAGAGCUCCGCUCCCACGUCCUUAGAACACGGCAGAGCAGGAGCAUCUCAGGAAUCAACGCCAGCUCCUUGGCGCUGUCCCCAGACCCACAGGCCUGCUGCGGCCAUUCGCAAACGGGCAUUUCCUUGAACUUUUGAGAGUGCCUUUGACCAGCUGUUCGCAGCUGGGAAACUCCAAGUUUCGAA
ensembl:lncRNA